AUCCACUUCUGAUGGUUGGGUCCGGUCUGAGGUCAGAGACCAGUUCUGAUGGUUGGGUCCGGUCUGAGGUCAGAGACCAGUUCUGAUGGUUGGGUCCGGUCUGAGGUCAGAGACCAGUUCCUGUUUUCUUGCCAUGUGUUUAUUUGCUCUUCAAAAACAAAGUUUUUUUAAGACUGAGAUGAACUUGUCUGGUUGAGCUCAUUCUGAUUGGUUCACACCAGAAUAGACUCUUGGUAUCCUAGCAACACCCCCCUCCCCCCACGCUGCACUUGCCUCUUCAGUUUGUGUAUUACUUGCUACAAAGCGUUGUUUGAAAUGCACUCAGCCUCCGAUUUCAGAAGUUGUAACCUUUGAUUUGAAGUUGUACUUAAAGUAUACAUGAAAGUUUAAAAUACACACAAAUAAAUGGUUCUUUAGCCCUUAUUAUAUUCGUGUAAAUGUAAUUUUACACAUUUGUAACCCCUUUUUCCUGUGACGACAUUAAAAUAUUAGUGAAAAACA